UUCGUAAGAGGUACUGGGGUAGCCAGGCUGACUUGCCCGUGGAACCGGUAGCGGCUCUCGGUUGCGCCGAGAGCUCGCCUCUCAGUAGGUUCACAGGCAAAUCAUCCUUGGCUACCGAAGAUGGCCUCUUACCU
rfam:Hordeum vulgare subsp. vulgare, WGS project CAJW01000000 data, contig: morex_contig_57765